UACGUAGGCAGCAAGCGUUGUUCGGAGUUACUGGGCGUAAAGGGCGCGUAGGCGGCCAUUCAAGUCGGGGGUGAAAGCCCAGGGCUCAACCCUGGAAUUGCCUUCGAUACUGUUUGGCUAGAGACCGGAAGAGGUAAGUGGAACUGCGAGUGUAGAGGUGAAAUUCGUAGAUAUUCGCAAGAACACCAGUGGCGAAGGCGGCUUACUGGUCCGGUUCUGACGCUGAGGCGCGAAAGCGUGGGGAGCAAACAGG
rnacentral:rRNA from 1 species